GCAAUUCCUUCUCCUUGGGUUUGUUUUGGAGCCUGAGUGGGGAGCGUGUCUACCUGAGUCGCCUUGGGCAUGCUCUCUCCUGUCUUCACAUGUGAUGUAGGAACAGUGAAAGACCUUAGCUCAUGGGAAGGCUGGGAAAAUCCGAGCAUCAAACAUGAUGAGAGCGAUAACCACCAGGAUGGUGAUGACGACAACAACGAUGACGGUGGUGAUGAUGACUACGAUGACGACUACGACGACGAUGACGAUGAUGGUAGUAGUGCUGGCAACAGCCCUUUUCAAAUGACCCUUGGACCAGCUCUGACCAAGCCUGGGUUGUACUGUCAUCCUUCCUGCCCACCUGCAGGAGGCAUAGUGGAUCAUGGGAAGGUGUUUGGCUGGAACUGAGGCAAUGGAAGCUUUUUUUUUCCUUUUCUUUACACCGGAGGAGCUGGAGAGUUCAAAUACGUUGUAAAAAAUUAAAACAUCGAUUCUUUUAGUAAUUAGAACUAAUUACAAACGAAUCCCCCACACCCUGGCAAUCUCAUUUUCUUCUUCGUAGGGAAGCUGGAUUCAGAUGUGUAAGAGGUUAAAUUAUUGAUUCUGAUCCCCCCGCACCCCCCCCCCGCACCCCUCCCUGUAGUACCUAGCACUGUCUGCGCCUGCCCUUGCCACCAACGUUGGUCAUGCCACUGGCUUUGUGGUGGGCAGGAAAAAUUUCAGACCGGAUAACCAGUGUCACCAAAGGGAAGUUUUCAAGGAAUGGCGCCAACAGAGGCUGCAUGUGGGGAUGUGUCCUUAUGCUGCAGGGCUUGUUCCUGGUGCUUGCAGACAGCAGAUGAGAGGCUGCAGGCAAUGAGAUGCUGCAGGGCUAGCUCAGGAAUGAGCUGUACGGGGUGGGGCUGGCCAUGUCACCCGCACACCAAGGAGAAAUGAAGGGCUCUGGAGGCCUCCGAAAUUUUGUGUUUAUCAUGUGGCAGGCAAUAGUGGAGGACUCUAAACUUGUGUGUUUGUGUGUGUGUGUGUUCCUUUCUGACCUCGAACGCAUGCACAAACAAAGCAAAUUCCAUGAGGCUGUCAUACGUACUAGCCUACAAUUGAUAAUACCUACUCUAAAUAUUGUAUAAAAUUAUGAGUGUCUGUUCAUGUCUUAGUCCUACCCUAACUUCUGAAUUUGGGGUUUUGGCUGUCCUGUAACUCACUAUGUAGACUACAGUGGCCUAGAACUCACAGAGAUCCUUCUGCCCCUGUUUUCCAAGUGUUGGGAUUAAAGGUGUAUGCCAUUA
rnacentral:lncRNA from 1 species